rnacentral:rRNA from 1 species
UACGAAGGGUGCAAGCGUUAAUCGGAAUUACUGGGCGUAAAGGGUGCGUAGGCGGUUCGUUAAGUCUGUCGUGAAAUCCCUGGGCUCAACCCGGGAACUGCGUCCGAUACUGGCAGGCUUGAAUCCGGGAGAGGGAUGCGGAAUUCCAGGUGUAGCGGUGAAAUGCGUAGAUAUCUGGAGGAACACCGGUGGCGAAGGCGGCAUCCUGGACCGGCAUUGACGCUGAGGCGCGAAAGCCAGGGGAGCAAACGGG